rnacentral:rRNA from 1 species
UUGCUGACGAGUGGCGGACGGGUGAGUAAUGUCUGGGAAACUGCCUGAUGGAGGGGGAUAACUACUGGAAACGGUGGCUAAUACCGCAUAACGUCGCAAGACCAAAGAGGGGGACCUUCGGGCCUCUUGCCAUCAGAUGUGCCCAGAUGGGAUUAGCUAGUUGGUGAGGUAACGGCUCACCAAGGCGACGAUCCCUAGCUGGUCUGAGAGGAUGACCAGCCACACUGGAACUGAGACACGGUCCAGACUCCUACGGGAGGCAGCAGUGGGGAAUAUUGCACAAUGGGCGCAAGCCUGAUGCAGCCAUGCCGCGUGUAUGAAGAAGGCCUUCGGGUUGUAAAGUACUUUCAGCGGGGAGGAAGGUGUUGUGGUUAAUAACCUCAGCAAUUGACGUUACCCGCAGAAGAAGCACCGGCUAACUCCGUGCCAGCAGCCGCGGUAAUACGGAGGGUGCAAGCGUUAAUCGGAAUUACUGGGCGUAAAGCGCACGCAGGCGGUCUGUCAAGUCGGAUGUGAAAUCCCCGGGCUCAACCUGGGAACUGCAUUCGAAACUGGCAGGCUUGAGUCUUGUAGAGGGGGGUAGAAUUCCAGGUGUAGCGGUGAAAUGCGUAGAGAUCUGGAGGAAUACCGGUGGCGAAGGCGGCCCCCUGGACAAAGACUGACGCUCAGGUGCGAAAGCGUGGGGAGCAAACAGGAUUAGAUACCCUGGUAGUCCACGCCGUAAACGAUGUCUACUUGGAGGUUGUGCCCUUGAGGCGUGGCUUCCGGAGCUAACGCGUUAAGUAGACCGCCUGGGGAGUACGGCCGCAAGGUUAAAACUCAAAUGAAUUGACGGGGGCCCGCACAAGCGGUGGAGCAUGUGGUUUAAUUCGAUGCAACGCGAAGAACCUUACCUGGUCUUGACAUCCACGGAAGUUUUCAGAGAUGAGAAUGUGCCUUCGGGAACCGUGAGACAGGUGCUGCAUG